AUUGAUUCGCCGGUGUUACUUGCAUCGUCGCCGGAAUAAGAAAACGGGAGGGAUGAAGCAGCGCCUUGCGGUGCGAAUAGUGUGGCACGAGGUCUCGCUCGGUUCGGCAGCACCAAGCGUCUAGCGGCUAAUUGGAACGAGGAUUGGGUAGUGCCAGCUGCAACCGACGGUGAUACAGUGGGAUCAUCUGCCAAAUGUGACGUUCAUAGCAGCUCGCUCUCCCAACGCUGGCACAAGCAAUUGGGAGGCACAAAAUAUCCCAUGUAAUUGGGCUAGCAGUCCACCGGGCGUGCCCGUUCUCCCAGUGGAACUACAUAGGGACGUUGCAAGCAAUUGGGCUAGCAGUCAACCGACUAGCUAAAGAAACAACCAGCUAGCAGUCAACUUGCUAGCCAGCUUGCACAGGUAUAUAUGUUUUCAGAAUUUUUGUGUUUGCCUUGUGAAUUUUUCAAAAAUAUUCUUGUGAAUUUUAAUGGAUCAAAGACAUGAAUUGCAUAUCAUACAAGUUAUUAAUGCAUAUAGAUUAUAGAGUUAUGGACUACUUUGGAUUUUACAUAAUUAUAUGCUGAAGUUCACUCCACCUUAAUUUUUUAUUUGAGAAAAUGCAUGCAUUGCUCACGUGUGAUGUUAAACAAAAUGAGGGUUAAGCCUAAUGAAGUUUCUGGUUGAGUUAAUUUGUAAUAGCAUGACCUGGUAUAUCAUCCAUGCAUACAUAAUGUUUUCCGGUGCAACGCACGGGCACUUACCUAGUGUGCUAAUAAUGAAUUGAAACCAUGAAAAUUGUAACCUGAAGGUUUGACCGUUGUCACCUAACCUUUUCUGUUUAUAAUGAACACCAGGGUUUAAAUCUUCAAGUGCCUUUCUUGUUUAAGCUUGUGUUCGAUUAGCUUGCAGCCCUUGGUAGCACCAAGACUUCACUGGCAUCAUUUACAACCCUAUUGGCUCUCUUUGCAGCGGCCUGUGGGGCAUCGACCAGGCUGGCAGCGACCCCGAUGGAGGGGAAGGGCUCGACAGGCGCUUCCAGGCAGGAGAGGCUUGGGGGCCUCGUGGAUUGGGGAGAUGGCGGCCACCCGGGUUUCUCCGAUCGAUCUGCGAUCUGGACAGGGUCACGACAACGCGGGCGUCGGGCGCAGGCGAGCGACCCUCUGCAGCCACGCGUUGACAGUUACCUGUCGAGACUAUAAGAAGAAUUUUGAGGAAGAAUUUGAUCAAGAAGACCAAGGUGAAUUAUAUCUCUCUUGAACACAGUCACUCCUGUUCCUGCAUUUUUGGAUUUUUCUGUGUAGUAGAGCACAUGCCAUGAUUUUGUACUCCUCUUCCUUCCGCAACCUUGCCUGCCGAGCGCACUGAGCUGUUUUGCUGUACAAAGAGCAUCUCCAUUUUAAUGUGCCAUGGUGUCCCUCUCCAGGCUAGCUCCAAACUUCUGCCCCCAUCAUUCCCAUGGUGUCUAAGAAUAUCAUAGGGAAGAGGCUCUGGGAGAGGGGGUUUGGUUUUACUUUUCUGGUUUUGCAACACGAUGCGCCGAAUUUCUCCUGCACAGAGAUGGUUUGCUUUGGAGAGGAAUUAGAUAAGGUCCAUGAGUCCUAAAGAUAAUACAAUCAAUCCAACUGUUAACUUUGGUGUGCUUUUGGGACGGACUAAUAUGAAGACGCUGGCUAGCUCGCAUUGCCAUCAUAGUCUAGAAGCAAGGGCAAGGAUUAUAGGGAAAAUAAAGGUACAAUGCUCCCAAUAUAUUUUACCUUCUCGGCGAAGUUUUGGUGCUUGCGCAAGAAAAUAACACCAUCAUUAUACCUACUGCUCAUUUUUUAUUCAGGCAAUUAGCCAUCAAUAGGAAAAGCCAACUAAUUGUACUUUCUCUAUUGCAGAGGUGAAAUUACUACUACUUUUCGAAAGUUUUUUAUGCAUGUUCCCCUUUCUUAAUCUUCUAUUUUUUCAAAUGUACAUACCUGUGCUUAUAAUCAUUAUUACACUUGGUUCUACUGCAAGAGCAUACUUUAUCUUUCCAUUUCCAUCAAUCCAUCUUGAUGUGUGAUCGGGUUGUUGUGUGAUGCUGUUAGCUAUUGAUAUGGUGUCUGCUUAUGUCUGUUCAUAAGUACACCCUUUGCCUAUUGUUCGGUUGAGACAUAUAGCAAGCACAAGAAAAAUCUGCUAAUGAGUCCUUAGCUAGCUUUUGAUAUUUUAGUCCUCUGGCCUUGUUCACACAUAGCUCCAGAAUUAGGGAACUAGAAAUAACUGAUUCUUGUCCCCAAAAAACAGCUAGGUAAUUUUCAUAGACCUUCUGACCUUCAUUAUUAUAUGCUUUUGCAUUUGUUGCAUUCGUUCUUUCAGGUUGUUUCAUUAUUUUUCCAUGUUGGUAGGAUGCCCAGUGUAUUUCAGCUCAUAUGUACAUGUAUUGUGUAUGGUUUAUUUGUCCUAUCUGCCGGUGUCUGAGCAUGACAAGCAGGAAAGAGGGAGGGGGGAUUUUUCAAGUACAAAGCAAAAUGUGCACAAAAUAGAUGCGGCUCACAAUGUCAUAGCAUAGACUGGAAAAACUAUACAUUGUAUAUAUAUCAUAAAUACUAUUAUCCAGUGCUCACGAUUUAUGUUCACAUAGAUACAUGGUAACAACAACAUACCUGGUUUUGUGGAUAAUGACUACUCCAGUGCCACAACUGUAGAAUACACUAGACUGGUCAAAAGUGCUCCAUUGCCUCAAUUGUAGAAUACACCGGACUGGCCAAAAGUUGUCCAUAGCCACAACUGUAGAAUAUAUGUCGCAGUUUGACCUUCAUACUCUCAAUUUGAAGCUUCAGAUCAUCCUGUUUAGCCAAAAAAUAUCAUAAAUUGCACAUUCAUUUGGGUAAACAUGUUGGCUUUCAUGUAGUGAUAUUUUGCUUUGGCAGUGUGCACCGUAUGAUGCUGAGGCCUAGAGAUGAACCCUUCCAUCAUCUUAAAAGAAAAAAAAGUUUGUACCCAAUAGAAUGAAAUAUUUUUGCCCAGGGUGAAACAGCUACCUCGGCAUGAGAAUGCCUAAUGUCUCUUGCAGUUUCUGAAACUGCUGCCUGCAGAUCAGAGAUAUCUCGGAAGCUAUCUCCCCGGAAGCUCCUGUAAACUGAAUCCCCACUGCUGCUGCUACUGAGUUGCGCUACUGAUGUGAUUGAUUGUGAAUUUGUCUUCAGGGUUGUAUCAGCAUGGUAAGAGAUGUCGCUGCCAGCACUGCCUAAAGGGCUAGCUUCAGGAUUGACCUAUUUAUAUUUACGAGUGUGUGAUCACAUUGCGAUGGCAGAGAUGACUGACGGAAUAAUGCAGUUGAUGUUCCAUUUCUGUCAGCCCACUCUGCUGUAGACAGAAUAGUUAGUAACACUCUAAUACACUUUUUUUGUUUGUAUUCAGUUCAUAGGUGUAAUCAACAAUUUUCAGAAAACAAAAUCAAAUGAAGACUUGAGUAUUACCUGAGGGCGCACUGGAAAGGCUUCCAGAGCUAGGAGAAGAAACGGUUGAAGAAGAUAUGGUCUUGGGUGUUUCACAGGCAUCAGGUGUAAGAGUGCACGAAUGACAGUUUGCCCUUCGAAACGACGUACGCCGUACAGAAGCUUGGAAUGCAUUCAGAGAUUUUUGUUGAAGUCUUGCUUCCUUUGAGCUUCCUGCAAACAAUCAACAAUGGUAGCCACACGAUUAAGAUUGCACUAGGCAUUUCUUAUCCUAUACUGUACUGGGUUUUAUUCUUUAUAAAAAUUGUUCAGCCUAAAU